UACGAAGGGUGCAAGCGUUACUCGGAAUUACUGGGCGUAAAGCGUGCGUAGGUGGUUCGUUAAGUCUGAUGUGAAAGCCCUGGGCUCAACCUGGGAAUGGCAUUGGAUACUGGCGACCUAGAGUGCGGUAGAGGGGUGUGGAAUUCCCGGUGUAGCAGUGAAAUGCGUAGAUAUCAAGAGGAACACCAGUGGCGAAGGCGAGUCCCUGGACAACACCUGACACUGAGGCACGAAAGCUAGGGGAGCAAACAGG
rnacentral:rRNA from 1 species